AUGUUGUCAAUCAUGGCCUUCAGGUCUUCAAUCAUUUUGAGGCUCACACCAUCUUUCUUGGAGGCCGCCGGCUUCUGCCUGCCCUUGCCAUUCUGCUGGACGGAGAUGUGGGCGAGGGAGACGAGGCAGAGCAGCAGGCAGGCUCCCCGCAGCGCCAUGCCGAGCACUGAGCUGAGCGGGACUGACUGUGCUCGGCCCGGCACGCCGGCUUUAAUGAGCAGUGUCUGGCCAAGGAGCUGGCCCCGGGC
rnacentral:lncRNA from 1 species